AGGCAGGGAAAGCCAAACAAACUCUUUGCUUUCGGAGGGCAAGUGGGGGGGGGGGAAGAGAGAAUUCAUUAUAACACCCCACCACCACCCCAGUCAGCCCUCCUGGACAUGUCUGUCAUGAUGAUCUAGAGCUUAAGUCAUGGGCCGCCCGGGGAGGAAGAGGAAAAGUUUUGAGCCUUAAGAAAGAUUCGUUUUGGGUUUAAUACGAAGAGGAAAUCCUCACUUUUUGGUUUGGCAACAUGUGCAAACCAGGUCACUGCAGCUUGUUAAAAAAAUAUAUGGAUAAAACAAACUACCUUGUUUCCAUUUUAUGAACAAAAACAACUUGUCAGCAGCUCAGGGCAACCACAGGCUCAGAGAAUGAAUGCUGGAUUCAGGAAAAAGACAGCAGUUCUGCAGCCCCUGAUGGUCUUUUGACAUAAGCCAAGAUGACUUUUCUCCAGUGGUUGGCCUUCACAAGCCUCCUGCAGAACAGCCGCCUUUAAUCUUCAUCCACCCUCCCGAUUCACACACAGGGCCCAGCCAAGAAGCCCAAGCUUUUACCCAACCACAACUUGCUUCCUUUGAUGCAGCCAGCAAAUAAAUGGACUGAUAGAAAACAAGGAAGGCAGGAAGUUCUGUCUAUAUCUCCUUUUCUGGGCUGAGACGGUUGAAGAUGCCCACAAGGUUAAACGAUGUGAAGGCAUGUCUGUUUUUAAGAACUCCUGGUCGUCUUUCUCAGCCAAGUUCUCUGCAAGCCAGAAUGGUCUAAGGCAGGGCUCUGCAAACUUGGCUCUUUUAAGACUUGUGGACUUCAACUCCCAGAGUUGAAGUCCACAAGUCUUAAAAGAGCCAAGUUUGCAGACCCCUGGUCUAAGGUCUCCUGGACUAGAAGACCUCCAAGGUUUCCUUCCAACUCUGUUAUUCUACGUUAUAAAAUUAUCUGGGUACAUUAACAUUAAUUAUGAUCUAUUUGGGUGUUCCGUCCCUGGAGGUUUUCAAGAACAGACUGGACAAACCAUUUUGUCCAGAAUAGUAUAGGGUCUCCUGCUUGUGCAGGGGGUUGGACUAGAAGACCUCCAAGGUUCCCUUCCAGCUCCCGUUAUUUUGCAAUUCUGUUAAGCUAGCUUCUCUUAUACGGUUAUAAAAAAAAAAGGAGAGGGAUAUCCUUGAGAGAAGCUCUUGGAGAGGACAUUCUGCAGUUUUAUUGGCAGCGAAACUGAAGUAUUUUGACACUGUCUUCCUGUGUGAUUUUUUUUUAUUUUUUCCUCUUCACCCUCCAAAGUUAGUCUACAGCCUUGGGCUCCCCUCCAGAGGUAGCCUCCUGGUCAAGGAUGAUCUGUGGCCAAUUCCAGAAACAUCCAAGGUUGUCCAGGCGUUGCCAGAUACCAAAGCCCAUCCAAGUAAAGUAACAGAAAUAAAAUAAUGUCAGAGUUGUAAUGAUCAGCCUUGUCUGGCCAACCAAUGUCCUCAAGAUGAUGAUGAUGAUGAUGAACAACAACAACAACAACAACGUAUUACUGGAACUGAUUUUAAACUGAAUUUUAAAAUAUAGGCUAUCUUAAUAUAAUAUAAUAUAACAACAGAGUUGGAAGGGACCUUGGAGGCCUUCUAGUCCAACCCCCUGCCCAGGCAGGAAACCCUACACCAUCUCAGUCAGAUGGUUAUCCAACAUUUUCUUAAAAAUUUCCAAUGUUGGAGCAUUCACAACUUCUGCAGGCAAGUCGUUCCACUUAUUAAUUGUUCUAACUGUCAGGAAAUUUCUCCUUAGUUCUAAGUUGCUUCUCUCCUUGAUUAGUUUCCACCCAUUGCUUCUCGUCCUGCCUUCAGGUGCUUUGGAGAAUAGUUUGACUCCCUCUUCUUUGUGGCAACCUCUGAGAUAUUGGAACACUGCUAUCAUGUCUCCCCUAGUCCUUCUUUUCAUUAAACUGGACAUAUCCAAUUUCUGCAGCCGUUCUUCAUAUGUUUCAUCCUCCAGUCUCCUAAUCAUCUUUGUUGCUCUUCUCUGCACUCUUUCUAGAGUCUCAAUAUCUUUUUUAUAUCGUGGCGACCAAAACUGGAUGCAGUAUUCCAAGUGUGGCCUUACCGAGGCAUUAUAAGGUGGUAUUAACAUUUCACAUGAUCUUGAUUCUAUACCUCUGUUUAUGCAGCCUAGAACUGUGUUGGCUUUUUUGGCAGCUGUUGGCUCAUAUUUUGAUGUUGGAUGUUAAUGCCUUAUUCUACUGCACCAAAACAAGUUGGAAGUCAAUGCCUUUUUUUUUUUCAUUUUCCUUUUUUUCUUUCCCUCACUUUUCCUACGGUUUACUUUUGUAUUUUCUUGGUACGCUAUAGUAUAUAAACUAAUUAAAAAAAUAAUGAUUAACACUGACAACUCCUUUAUAAUAAAAACUGCUCCUAGAAUGAAAAUAACUGGG